AUUGAACGCUGGCGGCAUGCCUUACACAUGCAAGUCGAACGGCAGCACGGGAGCAAUCCUGGUGGCGAGUGGCGAACGGGUGAGUAAUGCAUCGGAACGUGCCAUUGAGUGGGGGAUAGCCCGGCGAAAGCCGGAUUAAUACCGCAUGAGACCUGAGGGUGAAAGCGGGGGAUCGCAAGACCUUGCGCUGAUUGAGCGGCCGAUAUCAGAUUAGCUAGUUGGUGGGGUAAAGGCCUACCAAGGCGACGAUCUGUAGCGGGUCUGAGAGGAUGAUCCGCCACACUGGAACUGAGACACGGUCCAGACUCCUACGGGAGGCAGCAGUGGGGAAUUUUGGACAAUGGGGGCAACCCUGAUGGAGCAACGCCGCGUGCAGGAUGAAGGCCUUCGGUCGUAACUAGCUUUAUUAGUGUAAGAAUAUGACGGUA
rnacentral:rRNA from 1 species